AUUCGAUAAAACGCCUCCUGUUUCGUGAACAAGGGCGGCCACGCUGCCUUAAAGAUCUAGCAAAAUCGAGGAAGUCGGUGUUCUCCUUUUCCGGGAGGUUUGCUUGGGCAAACUUGUUAAAACCAACUGCCCCAAGUACCUCUUAAGAGCAUUUGGUUUUCAAGCCAGGAGCGGCGCUCUCGCAAAAUGUUUUAUGCGGCGACACGGUGUUCGGGAGAAAAUAAUAAGGCACCAUACAGAAUGAAUGCGCAUUGGCAAGGCAAGAGGAAACUUGAAUUUGCUGCGUGGCAGUCCGAUACUACCCGUCAACUGGAAUCAAGAGAGGUAUGUACAGGGUAAUCACUUUGUAAGACGUCUCCUCUUCUGCUAAGGAGUGCACGUUUUUGUUAGGGGAGGGGAGGCAAGUGCAGCUGCAUGUGUUUACACAGAAUGACCGCAUCUAUGCACUGGAACACAGCAGCAGGUAGACGAGAGUCCCUCAGAUGUGUAAGGGAAAAUUUUUAGACCCUCAAAACGCGUCGAUUCAGUAGUCGCAAGCGAAAAGGCACAAACAACGCUCAUGGAGUUUGCCUGCCCGCUCACGCCAGACUGCCGCGAUGCACCUGAAUGUAGCUCCGAUUGGGUGGCAAUAGACCGUGCAAACAAUAUUUCUCGGUGAAAGACCGUCGAUUGUUUUUUCUCCGAGUGUAUCAUCUCGUUUCAGCAGUGUCGUUUGUAGUCUAUCGCCUAUCAGUUUGUGCACUCCAUGUGGCAAGUGACUUCGCCGAGGACUUUGCGUGUGCGCAACAUGCGAUUUAGCGUAAGCCACGAACGCGGUGGGCAAUUGAGGGCCGACAAUAAGGGUCACUGAGACAGCCUCUCUUCCUCUCCUGCAUUUUUUUCAACGGAGCCAGAAAUCAAGAGCCAAAGAUGAUAUGCCUUCAACCUCGUUCCGUAGUAGUAGACCCCCUUAGACUCCUUGUACCGAUGACAGAAUGCAGAACUCGUAACACUGGAAAUUGCUGCCGUCGUCAAUGCACACGUCGCAUCGAGAUUCCGUAGGAGACGGAAAGCGUGCUUUAUUACAUCGUGAUGGCGUACAAGCAUACUACAAACAUCAUAUUUUUGUGGCUUCUAACACUGCAGGAAUUAGACAAAUGCAAUUAGAUGAGACCGGUACGUUUCCCAUUAGCCAGGCUUCGCAUCACCUCAACAUCGACUGUUCUGCUGCUUCAUAAAUUUCGGAGAUUCUUCAGUCACGAGGACUAGAAAGUGGAAAAACCUUGAAGUGAGAGGAUCUUCAUUGCAGCACACAGGAUUGUGCGUUCGGUGUAAGUUUUGUGAACUCAAUUUCUUUGGAUCCCACUGUGUAGGUGAUAUGUUCGUCUCGGUCAUCCGUGUUUCGUAGGGAUCUCUUUCUUUAUACACCAAACGAAUAAGGUCUAACUCUAACGCUUCAAAAAAACCUGACGGGCCGUCAGCGCCGG
rnacentral:lncRNA from 1 species